AGCACGUGCUUACCAAACACAGUAGAAUCACGUGUAGCAUAAAUACAUAAAGUAUUCUAAAAAUGAAGUAUUUUAUGUAUUAAAAUUAUACGCUUAGAUUUUGUGUUUGUGCGUUCAAGAGUCAGUUUUACGCAAGUUAGAGCUCAGCACAAAUCAGAUGACGGCCGUGUGUCUCUUGUUCCUCCACAAAUAUGUACUGAAGCUGUCAUCCCUGCGUAGGUCUUCAUCACAGAAACAGCAUGGUCUUCCAUACACAAAGAUACUGAAUAAGAGAGAGCGAAGAUGAAGAAGAAGAAGAAGAAGAAGAAAGGAAGAAAGGAAGGAAAUUGGAGGAGGAAUAAAGUAAGAGAUUAAGACAGAGGACUGCAGAAGAGUUUAGAAUAGAAACUCAUAAAUUAGACAUCCCGUUUGCAUAUUCAUGGAAUUAGAUGAUAUGCUAAUACAGUUAAUUUCCAUUGUGGUUACCUCCUGUUGCGGCAUGCUUCACGCUCAGUUUGUUUGAAUGAAGUGGGAAGAGAAAAGGAAAAAAGAGGACAGAAGGGGAAAACAACUUGUUGGGGCCCACUUGACAGGAUUGGAGAAUCAAGAAUGCGUGUGUCUUAAAGGAUGGACUAAACACAUUGAUAGCUAAGGCCAUCUGUUCACACAGAGAGAAAAAAGAAUGCUGAGUGCUGAGAGGGUUUUUUUGUGCGUGCAGAUGAGUGGGUUUGUGCUUUCACACGUGCUUUUGUUUGAUAUGUCUUUGGUGUGAUCACUAGAAAUCUGAAAUUCUAUGUUGUAAUCAAGAAAGAGAGAGGACUGCAGAUCAAAAGUAGAAAGGAGAGUAGUGGAGACAGAGAGAGAUGUGGGAAGCUAGAGGGGGAGGCUGUGGGGGAAGGGCCUGAUGCAGAGUGGCGAAUGAGCUAGGUGGUCGUGCGAGGUUGGCACAGUGCCAUCCACUCAGCGCGGGCGCUAGCGAGGGAGUGUAGGCACGCGGGCAUCAGCAAGAGGAAGAGAGGAGAGACAGAAAGAGUCAUCACCCAGCUGCCAUCCAGCACGGACAAGUGAUUUGUAGGGGCGAGCAAUGCGAGCAAGUUGGCAAAAGUUGGAGACCAUUUCGGAUUCCAUCAGACCCUGAGGAUCUCCACUGCCGAUGGAACAGAUCGUGCCCGACUGCUCCACAACACCAGAUAUGGAACAUACAGAGGAGAGGAUAAGAUGCUCAGACCUUCCUGUUCUACCUGUCAUGGUCUGUGUGCCACCAUGGUUCUCCUCCACAUGCCCUCUUGUGAGAGAAGGACAAAGUGGUCCUUAUAGGAGGACCCUGCCUGGUAUAGCUGCCAUGCUUCGAGGGUGCGUCCAUGGGUAUUUCACCGCACCGGGGAUUCGUGGCGUAUCUCUGUGUUGGCACUCCGCAUUACCGCUUACUAAUGUUCGGCGGUGUGCCAGGAUCUCCGCUGUGCCGUCUGGUAGCUGGAGUCAUGGCUCCGCUUCAAGAAUGGCACGGUGCCAACGUGUCUCUGCGGCAGCAGCUCCCGCCGCGUGCCACUUGGCAAAGACAAAGAGCCCGGGGGACAAAAAACACAAAACAAAAGAGCGACAAACACUCUGAUCCGACAGCUUAAUUAACACCAGCAGAGUUUGUUGGGUUAAUUAGUGUGACAGAUUUGGUCACAGAGGAGGAAUGUGGCAGCAACGCGUGUGAUGAACAAAAGCGAUGGGCGGGUAUGGCUAACUGAAGGAAUGCCUGUGAAUGCCAAGACAGCAAGAGAGCCCGGUGCCAACCAUGCAAAGUCUUCUGGGCUUGCUGCUGAUAAGGAUUUGACUAAGGCAGGAUGCUGAAGAAGACAAGACCACAUCUCAUGCAACCUUCUGCAACUCUGGAUCCAUCUUAACGCAUAGAUGCUGGAAUAUAUAGCACUGUUCAACUAGAUAACAGGUGAGGGGAUUAGAGGAGGAGAAGAACAAGAAGGUGCAGAGAGGAACUGAAGAGGGAGCCAAGGAGGCCUUGGACAAGCCAGCAAUGACUCAACACAAGGGAGCUGCUGAUUGGACCACUUUUGGCAACUUGUUGUUGAUGACUGGUUUCUUCUUCUGUACUGACAAGUAUCUGUGAGGGGUUUUGAAAUGUGUGAAACCAAAUGAACAUCAAUAUCUAACUAUCUGAGGUACCUUGAAAGAUCGCCUCUCGGACAAGGUGCCCCAACAAAUGGACAGUCAGAAUUCUUUCAGGGCACAUGGAGUGACUUUUGUACCUCCUCCAAGUUCCAGUACCGUUUCAUUUUCAUAAACAGUGUGCCUUCCACCAUGGAGAGAGCAAGGAGCGCACGGGAGAUCAGAAGCCUUUGAGCACCUGCAGAAUUUAACCUGCGCUCAGGGAAAAAAUAUGAAACUUGCAGCUUUGAGAGAACUGAGAUCCUCGCUGGAUGUUUGACAUGGAUAUGAAUAAUGCACAUUUUUUUCUUCCCUGUCUCUCCGUCAUUCUCUCCUCUUUGUUUUCUCUCUCUCAGAAGGGAGGGAUUUACAGACCUUUGUGCUUCAGAUGUUGCGUUGGCAUCACCUCGCCAAUUUCGCAUGUGAGGGCAACGAUGGCUAGAGGCUAACGA